GACGAACGCUGGCGGCGUGCUUAACACAUGCAAGUCGAGCGGUAAGGCCCUUUCGGGGGUACACGAGCGGCGAACGGGUGAGUAACACGUGGGUGACCUGCCUCUAGCUCUGGGAUAAGCCCGGGAAACUGGGUCUAAUACUGGAUAUGACUCCAUGACGCAUGUUGUGGGGUGGAAAGCCUUGUGCGGCUAGAGAUGGGCCCGCGGCCUAUCAGCUUGUUGGGGGGGUGA
rnacentral:rRNA from 1 species